rnacentral:lncRNA from 1 species
UACAAAGCCUGUGCCGCACAGGAAACGAAGUCAAAGGCUCCCUUUGUCCCCACCCCCUCCCCCCCAAGAGGAGAAAAUCAGCCCCAGCGAGGAUUUUGGAGCUGGACGGGCUGGCGCGAUCCUGGAGAAUCACCCCCGAAGCCUGCGCUCUCCCAGGGAACGCUUUGCCAGGCUCUGAAGAAGCUACGCAGGCUUGGGAGGAAAAGCAGCAGCGGAAAAGCUGUAUGGAGGAAGCAUCUUCUGUAUGUUCCAGCUGAGAGAAUGCCCACACGGCCGAGACAGCAAGAGCAAUGGAGUAAUGGUCUAGGAAACAGCUGAAGUGAGCCAACCCGGGGUUGCUAUCUGCCUGCAAAGCAGCGAUAAAAGGAGCGCAAGGCCGUCUGGUUCAAUUUUUGGAGGAUCCACAGCUAUAGGGCCCAGACGUAAGCUGAAUGUGCUUCUGAGGUUGCAAAAAUUGGCUGUUUCUUUGACCAUAUUAUUCACCUGCCUAACUCACUCCUAGAAAACUGCUAAGGAAGACAUUCAGAAUUGGAAAAGGAGAAAAAGAUCUUAAGCAGCAUUGAGAGAUAUUUUAGUGGUUAAGAGGAUGACCUAGGAGUUCCCGUCGUGGCGCAGUGGUUAAUGAAUCUGACUAGUGAACCAUGAGGUUGCCGGUUCGAUCCCCGGCCUUGCUCAGUGGGCUAAGGAUCUGGCGUUGCCAUGAGCUGUGGUGUAGGUUACAGACGCACUAGGAUCCCGCAUUGCUGUGGCUACAGCUCCAAUUCGACCCCUAGCGUGGGAACUUCCAUAUGCCGUGGGAGCGGUCCAAGAAAUGGCAAAAAGACAAAGAAAAAAAAAGAGGAUGGCCUUCAUGGUUUCGACAUGGACUUAUUCUCAUGACGGUGCUGAAAGUUAGGACACAAAUGCCGUGGGGUGUGGUCCUUGCCCGCCCUGACGUAGCUUCACAAUCCUGUUGGGGGCAACAAAGCUAACACAGGCAUUUAAAACAGUGGCAAGAUGGAGUUCCUGCUGGGGCGCAUCAGGAUCAGCGGCCUCUUUGGAGUCCUGGGACACAGGUUCGAUCCCUGGCCUGACACAGUAGGUUAAGGAUCCAGGGUUGCCACAGCCUCCUGGUGUAGGUUACAACUGUGUCUCAGAUCUGAUCCCUGUCCCAGGAACUCUAUAUGCCAUGGAGCUGCAAAAAAUAAAUGAAUAUGUAAAUAAAUGAAACAGUUCCAAGAGGCCAGGCCCUGCUGUGGAGGAGAGGGUGGAGAAGGCACAGGACAUAGUCCCUUCCCUCCCCGGCCCUAGGGAGUGCCGGGCCCGGGCGUGUCAUUGCUCUGGCCUGGAGUCCUCCUGUGUGUUAAAGGAGUCAAAUGCAAUAAUCUCCUCAAGUUCCUUAGAGCCUUGAUCUUCAGAAUCUAAUUACCACCACCAGUCGGUCUAGUGUAUAACCCAGCAGUAAAGGGAGGGAGGCAGACGGAGGAUGCUGUGAGCCCCCGGGUUCGGGAAGGGCUUGUGUCUCCAUGAACUGGACGGCUGCAGGAAGAACCUCUGCAGAGCUGGGGCUCAGGCUGGACUUGGAAAAGCCGGCAGGAGACCUAGCGAUAAUCGCUAAUCCUGUGAUCGCAAGGUGUGUUUGGAGAACAGGGAGGAGGCCAAACGGUCCCAGCGGUCUGGGAGCGAGAGGGAAGCUGGAAAGUUGGGCUGGGACCAGCUGGCGGGUGUAGAACUCUGGCCUAAGGAGCUAGAGGCUGAGCUUGUGGGUAAAAGGCGGCCAUGGCAGGGCUGAUGGAACAGAGGGCAGGCUGCUCUAGGUGUGUUUCUGGGACAGCGUGGAAGCAGCCCAGCCCUCAUUUUUGGCACAGGUCCUGGCCCCUCCUUGGUGUCAGAAGCUUCAACUCGCUGCUUUUCCCCACUUGGCGGUGCUCAGUCAACCACCGGCAGAGCACUGGGUCAGAAGACAGGGCAAAAGACAAGGAAGUGAUAAACGGGGACAGUGGUAAUUGCAUUAAAUUUUUUUUUAUUUUGCUAAAAUAUACAUAGCAUAACAUUUAAAUUGUAGCCACCUUUAGGGAUACAAUUUGCUGGUAAGUCCACUCACAUUGUUAUACCACGGUCACCACCAUCCCUUUCCAGAACUUUUUUUAUCAUCUCAAAUAGAAACUCUGUACCUGUUAAACAACAACUCCCCAUUCCUCCCUCCUCCCCUGCCCCUGGGAACCACAUUCUACUUGCUGUUUCUAUCAAUUUGCCUGUUUUAGGUACUGCAGAUGAGUAAAUUCAUACAAUGUUU